UACGGAGGGUGCGAGCGUUGUCCGGAAUCACUGGGCGUAAAGGGCGCGUAGGCGGCGGGUCGAGUCCGGGGUGAAAGCCCCCAGCUUAACUGGGGAAGGGCCUCGGAGACUGGUCCGCUCGAGGGAGGUAGGGGUCGCGGGAACUUCCGGUGGAGCGGUGAAAUGCGUUGAUAUCGGAAGGAACGCCGGUGGCGAAAGCGCGCGACUGGACCUCUUCUGACGCUGAGGCGCGAAAGCCAGGGGAGCGAACGGG
rnacentral:rRNA from 1 species